rnacentral:lncRNA from 1 species
GGGCUAGGGCUAACAUAUCUAUUUCUUCAGUAGCAUCUGGAAAAUCUUCUUCCAAAUCUUCUUCUCCAUCCUCAUUCCCUUCCCCAGCUUCAAUCCUUGCCCGAUUUAAUGUGUCAUUUUUUCACUGGGUAGGGCUUUCAGACAAGGAACUUCCACCAGAAGAGGAAUGAAUACCCACAAAAGGAAGCUAAUAAUAUAUAAGUUACCCGGCAAAAGGCCAAACCAGCGCUUACUUCGGACUCAUACUUCUUUCUUUGAACCUAGUACAGCUCACCUACCCGUACGCCGUCUUGUUUAGAUUUAUUGUUCCCCGUCUUCCUUCGCUUCAAGCUAACUUGAGCUAGGGCAUGGUCGGGUUACAGAGAUUGAGGAAGUGGGGAUAUGAUACCAGUAAGAGCGGAUUCAAGACUUUCAACCCCUUAAUAGCCUUAGAGAGGAUCCACAGAUUUUCACCUACUUCUUUGUCUUUUCACUCCGGCGAUGCUUCUCGAACCAAACAAGCCUACUUCGGUUACCUCGGGUAAGGUGAGAACUCAAGCUAGUCGGACUUGGCUGAAACCUGCCUUCAAAGGCUAGCGAUGUAUGUCACCUCCGGGUAGGAUCGGGAAGAAAGCUUUCCUAUGAAAGAGGGUGCGCUAAAAGGAAAGGAAUGCAACUAGAGUGUCAAGGAAUAGAGGCCAGGAGCGGUAACUAGACUAGAAGGUAUUUCAUACCUGGCUAGCUCAUUUCCCUUUGUAGGGUGCUGUUCAUCCAACAGUUUUGUUUUCCCAGUCCGCACUGAGAUGAAAGAAUUACCCGAGGCUGAAACCGGGCUUCUAUGAGCAGACUGAGAUGAACAGCUAGCCGACUCGUUUGAUUAGGACAGCCCACGCCUCUUACUAAACCGCUUAGGUGCAAAGAUUCGCUUGCUUCUGAGGCUUACUCUGUGCCAGCAGCCGCUACGAAAGAUAGGGUCUCCCCCUUCGACUUCUUAUUCAGCAGACCAUAAGCCUAGCC